rnacentral:rRNA from 1 species
GUCUAUGGCCAUGCCACCCUGAACGUGCCCGAUCCCGUCUGAUCUCGGAAGCUAAGCAGGGUCGGGCCUGGUUAGUGCGUGGAUGGGAGACCACCUAGGAAAACCAGGUGCUGUAAGCA